CCUUUGUACACACCGCCCGUCGCUACUACCGAUUGAAUGGUUAUAGUGAGCAUAUGGGAUCAGCAGAUUUAGACUGGCAACAGUCUUUGCCUGCAGAGAACUAUGGCAAACUAGGCUAUUUAGAGG
rnacentral:rRNA from 1 species